CCUACGGGAGGCUGCAGUGAGGAAUAUUGGUCAAUGGACGAGAGUCUGAACCAGCCAAGUAGCGUGAAGGAUGACUGCCCUAUGGGUUGUAAACUUCUUUUAUAUGGGAAUAAAAUGUUCCACGUGUGGGAUUUUGUAUGUACCAUAUGAAUAAGGAUCGGCUAACUCCGUGCCAGCAGCCGCGGUAAUACGGAGGAUCCGAGCGUUAACCGGAUUUAUUGGGUUUAAAGGGAGAGUAGGUGGAUUGUUAAGUUAGUUGUGAAAGUUUGCGGGUCAAACGUAAAAUUGCAGUUGAAACUGGCAGUCUUGAGUACAGUAGAGGUGGGCGGAAUUCGUGGUGUAGCGGUGAAAUGCUUAGAUAUCACGAAGAACUCCGAUUGCGAAGGCAGUUCACUGGACUGCAACUGACACUGAGGCUCGAAAGUGUGGGUAUCAAACAGGAUUAGAUACCCCUGUAGUC
rnacentral:rRNA from 1 species